GUGGGGAAUAUUGGACAAUGGGCGCAAGCCUGAUCCAGCCAUGCCGCGUGAGUGAUGAAGGCCCUAGGGUUGUAAAGCUCUUUCACCGGAGAAGAUAAUGACGGUAUCCGGAGAAGAAGCCCCGGCUAACUUCGUGCCAGCAGCCGCGGUAAUACGAAGGGGGCUAGCGUUGUUCGGAAUUACUGGGCGUAAAGCGCACGUAGGCGGAUAUUUAAGUCAGGGGUGAAAUCCCGGAGCUCAACUCCGGAACUGCCUUUGAUACUGGGUAUCUCGAGUAUGGAAGAGGUGAGUGGAAUUCCGGGUGUAGGGGUGAAAUUCGUAGAUAUUCGGAGGAACACCAGUGGCGAAGGCGGCUCACUGGUCCAUUACUGACGCUGAGGUGCGAAAGCGUGGGGAGCAAACAGGAUUAGAUACCCCUGUAGUCC
rnacentral:rRNA from 1 species